ensembl:lncRNA LOC102556390 uncharacterized LOC102556390
CUUCUCCCCAUAUGGAGGGAAGAGAUAUGGUCUCCAUUUUGCUUCCCACCUGCUUGAGCUGAGGCGUCAAGCCUUUCCCUUCAGAUUUACACCAUUGGCUUCCUGAACGCAAGCCUUCAGACUCGCUAAAUUACAAUCUUCCCAGGGUCUCUGGCUGGCAGGAGGCAGAAGAGGCUCUUUGCAGCCUCUCCAGAGUUGCCAGCUGAAGAGAAAAACCACAAAAUGGUUUGCCCUGAAGCCUUUUCUGAUGUGUGGUCAAGAGUGCGCUGCAGCCUUUCUCCGCCCCUACUACCCUCCCCAUCCCCUGAAUAAACUCUAUUCUAUACUAAG